rnacentral:rRNA from 1 species
UUUUCCAAAAACAUAAUUAAUAGAAAUAAUUAUUAAUAAAUCCUGCUCAAUGAAAAUUAAAUAGCCGCAGUUCAUACUGUGCUAAGGNAGCAUAAUCAUUUGUCUUUUAAUUAAAGACUAGAAUGAAAGGAUAAACAUUUAAUUUCUUAUUAUAAAUUUCUAAAUUCAAUUUAUUUUAAAUGUAAAAAAACAUUUAUUUUUAGAAAGNCGAAAAGNCCCUAUUGAACUUAACUUAAGUUAAACUGGGGCNGUUAAUUAAUAAACAUUUUAAUAUUUUAAAAAUAAUUGNCCCGAUAUAAUCGACUAUAUAAUCAAGUUACCAUAGGGAUAACAGCGUAAUAAUUUUCNUUAGAUCUUAUAUAAAAAAAUGAUUACGACCUCGAUGNUGAAUUAAUUACUCUAUUAAAUGCAACCAAUUAAAAAGAAAGUCGUCGCNU